rnacentral:rRNA from 2 species
GGGACACGUGGUAUCCUGUCUGAAUAUGGGGGGACCAUCCUCCAAGGCUAAAUACUCCUGACUGACCGAUAGUGAACCAGUACCGUGAGGGAAAGGCGAAAAGAACCCCGGCGAGGGGAGUGAAAAAGAACCUGAAACCGUGUACGUACAAGCAGUGGGAGCACCUUCGGGUGUGACUGCGUACCUUUUGUAUAAUGGGUCAGCGACUUAUAUUCUGUAGCAAGGUUAACCGUAUAGGGGAGCCGCAGGGAAACCGAGUCUUAACUGGGCGUUAAGUUGCAGGGUAUAGACCCGAAACCCGGUGAUCUAGCCAUGGGCAGGUUGAAGGUUGGGUAACACUAACUGGAGGACCGAACCGACUAAUGUUGAAAAAUUAGCGGAUGACUUGUGGCUGGGGGUGAAAGGCCAAUCAAACCGGGAGAUAGCUGGUUCUCCCCGAAAGCUAUU